rnacentral:rRNA from 1 species
UACAGAGGGGGCAAGCGUUGUUCGGAAUUACUGGGCGUAAAGGGCGCGUAGGCGGCCUUCUAAGUCGAACGUGAAAUCCCUGGGCUCAACCCAGGAACUGCGUCCGAUACUGGAAGGCUUGAAUCCGGGAGAGGGAUGCGGAAUUCCAGGUGUAGCGGUGAAAUGCGUAGAUAUCUGGAGGAACACCGGUGGCGAAGGCGGCAUCCUGGACCGGUAUUGACGCUGAGACGCGAAAGCGUGGGGAGCAAACAGG